rnacentral:rRNA from 1 species
UACCUGCAGCUCAAGUGGUGGCCGUUAUUAUUGGGCCUAAAACGUCCGUAGCCGGUCUAUUAAAAGCCUGGGUAAAUCGUGUAGCUUAACUAUACGAAUUCCGGGUAGACAGAUAAACUUGAGACCGGGAGAGGCUAGAGGUACUCCUGGGGUAGAGGUGAAAUUCUGUAAUCCUAGGGGGACCACCAGUGGCGAAGGCGUCUAGCUAGAACGGGUCUGACGGUGAGGGACGAAGCCCUAGGGCGCAAACCGGAUUAGAUACCCGGGUAGUCCAGGGUGUAAACGCUGCUUGCUUGAUGUUAGUCGGGCUCCGAGCCCGAUUAGUGUCGGAGAGAAGUUGUUAAGCAAGCUGCCUGGGGAGUACGGUCGCAAGACUGAAACUUAAAGGAAUUGGCGGGGAGCACAGCAACGGGUGGAGCGUGCGGUUU